UGGGCAAGUGACCGUGGCAUUCAUCCCCCAGCCGGAUGUUUGUAAGCAUGGAAGGGGUUGCUCUUGAUAGUUAUAUCAGAAAUAAUUAUACCAGAAAGAAAGAGAAAUGGCCCAAAUUUUACCGCAAAGCAUUUUUUUUUUUAGGAUUUUAUUUAUUUGACAGAGAGAGAUCACAAGUAGGCAGAGAGGCAAGCAGAGAGAGAGAGAGAGAGGGCAUGAAGGAAGCAGGCUCCCUGCCUAGCAGAGCCCUAUGUGGGACUUGAUCCCAGGACCCUGAGAUCAUGACCUGAGCUGAAGGCAGCGGCUUAACCCACUGAGCCACCCAGGCAGCCCCAACCGCAAAGCAUUCUUAAGCAUUUUACAAUCUCAACACAUUUCUGGUUUUUUGAGUCUCCCCAACCAGUCAGUAGACUCCCAGCGAGCACCGAUGGAGGGCUUGCCGUGUACAGAUACCGCUCCGGGAUUUGUUUUUCCGUGCGUGGACUCCUCACAUAACGCCCCUCAGGACAGGUGGGGACUCCAUAGGAAAAAAAAAAGAAAGAAAGAAAGGAAGGAAGGAAAAGAAAAAACAAUUCACAUUCAAAAUCCUACCCCAACCGGGAUGCCAUCUUCAAACAACAUGCUCUCAGCAGCAAGAAUGCCCAGACAGGAAAGUGUGGAUGGGUCGACACAGACAAUCCAGGUUAAUGGAGAGAAUUCAAAGUUCAUAUAGUACUUCAGUGCUGUGGGGAGCUUUUUUUUUUUUUUUUUUUUUAACUGUGUUUUAUAGUUAUUGCUGAGGCAGAGUUUUGGUGGGACUGAGAUGAUCCGGGCUCUGGAGGACCAUCGGCGUCUGUUAAGAUGCUGACCGACUGCGAGUUUCACUCUGAUUAUACGUUAUCUUCACAGGUCGGUCCUGAAGGGAAUGGACCCAGGACGUGCAGGACAAGUCAUGCAGUGCUGGAGAUUCAAAACCGCCGGGGAAGGCGGGUUGGGGGAGAAAAGGAAGAAGGAGAGGAAAGAAAGGAAAGCAGGAGUGGGGGGAGAGGAGGAAGAACCACACAGAGGGGGGCAGGGGACUCCCUGACGCUUCAGUGAUUUGCCGUGUCACCCACUCACAUUCCCUGGACACGCUUUCCUUGGGCCAGGCCCCAGGUCCCAUGGGCUACACCUCCCGCACGCCUCACUCCAGAGCCACAACCCAGAGGGAUGUGUUCUCAGGAGGGAUGCUAGAAAGCAGCCCAUUUCCCAGACCUAUGUUCUGUGUGAGGAAAGGGCUCAUUUCUCCUCUGUUUCUCAUCUGACAUCUUGUUUUGAUAAGCAUCUUGAGGCUGGAUAGAGGCUGGUGCUGGCAGGGGACAGUGAGAACGGAAUAGAGAUACACUUCUGGGGGGAAGGAGGGACUGGGGUUGUCAGGGAGUACGAUACAGGGAAAGGGCCCUGGUUUCUGUGGACUGGGUAUGUCUUCGGAGCACAGGACACACAGAGAGUAGGGGGCUCGGGGAGACUGCUCACUGCUUCCUGGGCUCUCAGGCUUCUUAAAGGCUCCACGAGCACGAAGUCACAUUGUGGGGCCCAUGGCAUCUGGCAUCCUCGCCCCCGCCCCGGCAUACUGCUCCUGGGAGUGCACUCGAACUGUUCUUCUGAGGAAGGCAAAAUGGCUGCCAGGCCACAAGACAACCUUCAUCUAUCUGUCUAUCAAGCAGAUAUCCCUUAAAAGGGUGUUUGCUGUCUCUUCCGGAAGGUGUUUUGGGAAAAUAAAGGACUAGAAGUUGGUGGCAUUGUUCCAUACUCUGUAGCUGGGAAAACUCGGGUUUUUUCCACAGUAGGAAAACACUCCAUUUGUUCCCUGCCUAAUACGGGGGAGAUCCCAGCUGGGUGUUUCUUUGCUGCAAACAGGCAAAGGAUGGGAAAGGAGCCGUAGCGUUCAGUUCUGUGAAUUAAGGUCAUUUACUGUCAGAAGUCACCAAACCUGUAUUUCAAGGGACAUCUCUCCAGCUCUCAGUCUCCCAGGCUGGCCUGCAGCCCCGAAGAGACUGGGCUUAGCUCCAAACCCUUUCAACCUGAGUGAAACCCAUAAGAUGUCUCUCCCCAUUUUCUACAGCCGGGGCUGCUACCUGAAAUCAUGGUGUGUUUGUGUUGGAAAAGAGUCCUGCUGCUUUCCACCCUGGCCCGGGCUCCCCAGGGGAGCAAGGAGGGGGAAAGUCGCUGAUGUAAUAACCCAGCUUGGGACUUGCCGCCAUUUGCCUCCGGGGACAGGAAGAAGCCGGCGCACAGCCUCCACAGGGAGACUGGGCAGGGGAGCCGUUAGAACAGUCUUCAAAGUGAGGGCUCGCGCUCUUCCCUAGUAAGCCACCUUGACAACACAUCCCCAGAGGGUGUCCAGGUGCCUCUUGGUGCUUCCGUCUUUCGGUCUCAGGCUCUCACCAAGGAGCAGUUCUUGCUAGUCUCUGUCUAACAAGAUUGCUUACUCCCUGCCCUGGACUUGGGGGUUCAAGAGCGUGGCCUCUGUGAGCUUCACGAGCCAAGCCCCGCUGGCUGGCCUCCCGUGUCCCCCAGCUGUGCCGGGCCGGCUGCACGCUGUCC
rnacentral:lncRNA from 1 species